AGAGCCUUCAAAUUUUGAAUGAAAUAAGAGAGUAUAAAUAUUUGCUAUAUAGCAUAGAAGAGAAAUAUUAAUGAAAAUAAUUAUUAAAGGUUUUGGGAGGAAAAAUAUGGUGAACAAGAAGCUUGCAUUUGUUUGGCAAAUGGUGUUGAUUAUUGUGCUUAUAUUGGCAUCUUCAAUGGCAUCAAGGGAAUUAACAAACUCCAAACCAAGUGAAACAUACAUGUUUAAAAGGCUAGCAAUGGAUGACCCUCGUGAUGGCAACUAUAGAAAGAAACCAUGAAGAGGAUGACACCCAAACUACAAUAUCUAUUUGAUGUACAUCAUCAUUCGCAUUUUUUUUUUAUCAUUUUAUUAAACUUAAACGAUCGAAGAUGGGUGUUCUUACUUAUAUAUUCAGAUUUUUCUAUUAUCUUAAAAAUAUGAGACUUAUUUCCAA